UAGGGAGACCUACUUCUGGUGGGAGUGACUGAGCGACUAGCUCAUCUCCAACUGGAAGUCAUCCCAAGGUCGUGCGAGAUUGGUAGUAGAAAGCUUUCAAACUAGAUUUGGUUCGUUUUGGGCUAUUAGCUCAGGUGGUUAGAGCGCACCCCUGAUAAGGGUGAGGUCCCUGGUUCGAGUCCAGGAUGGCCCAUGCCCAUAGCCAGUCAAAGAACCGGAAAAAUUCAGCACCGACACCUAAGCUUUCUGAGCUGCGUGAGAAUGCUGGAAUUAAGUUCCAGUGAGAACCUUGAAAACUGCAUAGUAAGAGAAAGAAAAGCAGGUAGAACUGCUGACACUCAUUUCGAGUGUGAGCAGUGAAUCCAAAAAGUAACCAAUGUGGUCAAGCUACAAAGGGCUAACGGA
rnacentral:tRNA from 1 species